AAAUUGAAGAGUUUGAUCAUGGCUCAGAUUGAACGCUGGCGGCAGGCCUAACACAUGCAAGUCGAGCGGUAGCACAGAGAGCUUGCUCUCGGGUGACGAGCGGCGGACGGGUGAGUAAUGUCUGGGAAACUGCCUGAUGGAGGGGGAUAACUACUGGAAACGGUAGCUAAUACCGCAUAAUGUCGCAAGACCAAAGUGGGGGACCUUCGGGCCUCAUGCCAUCAGAUGUGCCCAGAUGGGAUUAGCUAGUAGGUGGGGUAACGGCUCACCUAGGCGACGAUCCCUAGCUGGUCUGAGAGGAUGACCAGCCACACUGGAACUGAGACACGGUCCAGACUCCUACGGGAGGCAGCAGUGGGGAAUAUUGCACAAUGGGCGCAAGCCUGAUGCAGCCAUGCCGCGUGUGUGAAGAAGGCCUUCGGGUUGUAAAGCACUUUCAGCGGGGAGGAAGGCGUUAAGGUUAAUAACCUUGGCGAUUGACGUUACCCGCAGAAGAAGCACCGGCUAACUCCGUGCCAGCAGCCGCGGUAAUACGGAGGGUGCAAGCGUUAAUCGGAAUUACUGGGCGUAAAGCGCACGCAGGCGGUCUGUCAAGUCGGAUGUGAAAUCCCCGGGCUCAACCUGGGAACUGCAUUCGAAACUGGCAGGCUAGAGUCUUGUAGAGGGGGUAGAAUUCCAGGUGUAGCGGUGAAAUGCGUAGAGAUCUGGAGGAAUACCGGUGGCGAAGGCGGCCCCCUGGACAAAGACUGACGCUCAGGUGCGAAAGCGUGGGGAGCAAACAGGAUUAGAUACCCUGGUAGUCCACGCCGUAAACGAUGUCGAUUUGGAGGUUGUGCCCUUGAGGCGUGGCUUCCGGAGCUAACGCGUUAAAUCGACCGCCUGGGGAGUACGGCCGCAAGGUUAAAACUCAAAUGAAUUGACGGGGGCCCGCACAAGCGGUGGAGCAUGUGGUUUAAUUCGAUGCAACGCGAAGAACCUUACCUGGUCUUGACAUCCACAGAACUUUCCAGAGAUGGAUUGGUGCCUUCGGGAACUGUGAGACAGGUGCUGCAUGGCUGUCGUCAGCUCGUGUUGUGAAAUGUUGGGUUAAGUCCCGCAACGAGCGCAACCCUUAUCCUUUGUUGCCAGCGGUUAGGCCGGGAACUCAAAGGAGACUGCCAGUGAUAAACUGGAGGAAGGUGGGGAUGACGUCAAGUCAUCAUGGCCCUUACGACCAGGGCUACACACGUGCUACAAUGGCAUAUACAAAGAGAAGCGACCUCGCGAGAGCAAGCGGACCUCAUAAAGUAUGUCGUAGUCCGGAUUGGAGUCUGCAACUCGACUCCAUGAAGUCGGAAUCGCUAGUAAUCGUAGAUCAGAAUGCUACGGUGAAUACGUUCCCGGGCCUUGUACACACCGCCCGUCACACCAUGGGAGUGGGUUGCAAAAGAAGUAGGUAGCUUAACCUUCGGGAGGGCGCUUACCACUUUGUGAUUCAUGACUGGGGUGAAGUCGUAACAAGGUAACCGUAGGGGAACCUGCGGUUGGAUCACCUCCUUA
rnacentral:rRNA from 1 species